rnacentral:misc_RNA from 1 species
AGAGGCAUAGAUAUAGUAAAAAAAAGUAGAUAAUGCGCGGCCUUUGUUGUUAGUGAAGCCACAAAACUCGGCUCCUUCAAGUAAAUACACGCGCUCACGCACACAUAUGCAUCAAACUACGCUCAUUUUCGUUAGUAUGUCACGAGGCUUCAUACAGUAACUUUGCUUAUAAAAUGCCGUCUUGUGUGAUUAAAUGGUGCAAAAACAAUACCAAAAUAAACAAAAAAUCUGAAGGAAUAUCGUUUCACACGUUUCCAACGAAUAUUUUAAUAAGAGGUGAAUGGGUAGCGGCUGUAAGACUGAGAAAAUGACCACAAUUAUGCUGGCCAUGCGCAUAAAGUGAAUUUAAUACGAUUAGUGAUUGAAAAAUAUUUGAACAUAAGACUACAUCAUAUUAGUAAAAUGCAAACAAUGACGAUGACUCUGAGUUCUAAGCGACA